AAUAUUUUGAGAAGGACCUGUACAUGGUUUUGCUACUGGCAGGGAGAGCGAAGUCCUGAGCCUAUCUUUCUGUCACCCACGUUAAGAUCUGCUGAUUUGGCUUCUUCUGUCAAAGUUUUUCCUAUGUUUUUCCUUCAGGUAUGGAGGGCAGUAGAACCAUCUCUAUUCUUGCAGUAAAUCAAGAAUAAGCAGCUCAGGGACGUUGGUUCAUCCUAAAGAGUUUUCAUGCUAAUUUUCCUAUAGAAUUUAAUUCCUACACAAAUUUGUUUCAUCUUUACGAUGGUAUUUUAUUGGCAUUACAUUUCUAAGUAAUGUAUGAUAAGAAUUUAAGGUAUAAAUGAACUGGCCAGUGACAUUUGUAUUUUGUUUUUAUGAGAUUACUGUUUGUGUUUUCCCUCCCAUUAGUUUCAUAAGUUCACAUUACUCUCCCAGCUGGAGCACAUCAAUGAUUGCUCACCUGGUUCCCAUUCUUGUAAUCAGUCUUCCUAUUAGAUAAAUGCACAGGUUGUCAGAUCCUCACAGGUGGUUUUUGUGUCCUCUUGAAGUUGUUCAUUAAAGGUUCAUUCCUGCAUCAUGUCAGUUUGCUUAUGUAGCAGGAUGAAGCCUGCCACAGGAUUGAGGACACCUGGCAUCUAAUUAGUACACACUGGGUGUGAGCAUAAAGGGAGAUUCUCUCACCUGCUCUCAUUAUGCCUGCAUUUAGUUACACUUCAGCAGGAAGGUCAUAUGGUUUGCCUGCAGGGGCCAAAACUCUAACAUCAGCUGAGAGCUGAAGGCGGUGGGGGCGCAUCCAGGGGAACUGGACCUGACCGGUGUUGGGAUUUGUUCACGAUCGAGUGUUUGUUCAAGUGCUUGGGGUGAUUUAUUUUGUUUUAGGAACCAGUUCCCCAUACUCGGAUUGCCCUCCCCCUGCUGGUAGGCCCCAGUCUUGUGUACUUCCCUUCCUAUUUUGGCUUUUGGAAUAUUGUCUUUUAACACAUGGAACAAUAAAAUGUGACUUUUUGUGAAAUAAAGUCUUGCUCUCCUUGUCUAUGAA